rnacentral:lncRNA from 1 species
CAGGGUUCAAAAUGAAAUUAAUUUCCAUUACCUCCCACAAUAAAUCACCUCACUCAACACAUGUAUGAAAUUCCAUUCAGGAGACUCAAGUCAUUCUGGGGCCACACAGAAAAGCAUACACACUUCAGCUUGCACUUAGUUAAUUUCUCUGCUUGAAAGAGCUUUGAUGGGACUCCGAAAACAGGUUCCUAGAGAGCCAAUGGAGAAGGAGACAUCCCUAUAACAUAAGGUAGCUGGCCUGGAGAUCUUGGGUUUAUGCAGAGAAGAUGGAGUUUUGUUUUUUUUUUUUUUUUUUUUUUUUUUUUUUUUCCUGAAACAUUUUCUGAAGUCCCUCCGAUUUUGGCUUUCUUAUUACAAACCCAAAUGCACAGGGCUGGUGAUAGUGGCUUCUCUGACAUCAGAAUCAAAUAGUAAAUACUCUAAAGCCAUUUGGGAAGAUGUGUGUGGCUAGCCAUUCUGAUUCCUGGACUUUUUAUAAAAGAAACCACCAAAUGAGCCUAAGUGCUGCGUACAGCAGGAUAACGAAGAAAGUAAAUAUCAAGUUAUGUUACUGUGUCCAAGGAGUUUGCAAAGAUGAUGAACAUGACUAAUAUGCAUCAAAUCAUGGGCAAGGAAUUUAAGUGAGAGAGGACCAGAAUCUCCUACUUGAGCUGGGCCUUACAGAGAUUCGAGAAUAUAAUUGGGACUGCUACUAUUGAUUGGACCCCACUCCUUACAAGGUCUCUUGAAGGUUGUGAUGUGACCAAGGAUAAUGAAGUACCUCAAAAUGGCAAAGGGAAUAUAGCUCAAAAAGAUCAGUAGUUACCUAUAAAACUCUGGAGCCUAGACGUGUCAUAUGUCACUCUUGUCACAACUCAUUGGUUAAGUGAAGUCACAGCCCCACCCAAGCAGAGAGAUUCAAUGUGGAGAAUCCUCUUAUGCAUAAAGGAAAUUCUAUUUAAGCUGAGAUCUAUAGCAGAGGACCCCAUCACUCAUGAGUAGGAGUUAGGGAAAGUAUAAGUUUUUGGGUAAAUUGAAGAGCAAGAACAAGAACUCAAAGGGUGAAAGAGACUAUGCCAGAUCCCUCUCUAGGUACUUAAGCUAAUACAGGUAGCCUAUCUGGAAGAAAAAAUGACAUGUACCAUGAGUUGAGUUUGGAUGUACUUAUGCUUCCUGUGCACCAAGGAUUGAAUGCACCAAAAAACUUAUCAAAUUGUACCACUGCAAAUAUGCUGCCAAUAAACUGCCUGGCAUCAAACUCCUGAAGUUUGAUCCAGCCUGGCAGACUAAGUCAGGCUGAACUGAGUUUUCAUUACCACCUCUUCAUGGUUCAUUUUCCUGACUGCAGUGAUACCUGUGGGGACCCCUCAAUGGAUUUUUUAAAAAUUACCUUUAGAUUUAUUUAUUUCAUUUUAUGUAUAUGACUGUUUUGCUUGUGUAUCUAUAUAUGUACCACUGUGUGUCUGGUGCUCGGGAAGGCUAGAAGAAAGCAUCAGAUCCUCUGCAACUAGAUUUAAGUUACAGAUAGUUGUGGGCCACCAUGUGGGUGCUGGUAAUCAAAUGUGGGUCCUCUGCAAGAUCAACAAUGUUAUGAACCACUGAACUAUCAUCUCUUCAGCCAAAACACAUCUUAUGUGAAAGACACAGCCAUUUACUAAACAGUUUGAUAAUUUUUAUAUUCUCUCCUUCACUUACUCACCCAGAGAUGUGCCCCUCCCUGGCAUAUUUUAUCCUAAGGACACCUAGUUAUCGAUUCAGUAUAUCUUUUAUCCAUUCAUCACGGUCUCUGAGUAGACAGAUGUCUAUGAAAUACUUUCCUAGAAAAUUAAGAUGAUAAUUUACUUAAUACAGAAUGUGAGGGAAGGGGUUAUAAGUUUCACUAGCCACCAAGAAAGGCUUUGAAAGCAAGAAGGUAGGUAAGGAGAGAUCCAAAUUCUGAGUUGAUAAUCACCUUCAGUACCUGUAAACCAAGCUCCAUUCAGAUGUAGAAUUUAUCUUCUGGACUUUUUAACUGAGCCAAGAAGACCAAUACAAUCUAUGUAUUGGACCAGACAAUCCUCAUAGACUUGUGUCAGACAAACUUAACAUUUCAGAAAGUGUUCUUUAACUAAAGAAUUUCAGUGUAAGCACCUUCAAUUUGUCAUCAACUAUUUACUGAACACACAGAGUAUACAGAGCUAAGCACUAUAGAUAAGCUGGUGAAUAAAACCAAGUGCCUGUCCAUGAGAAGCUGACAGUUCAGUGAAGGAGACAGGUAAUGAACAAGCAAAUAUACUCUUCAUCAAAUGAUGCUGAACACCAUUUGCAUAGAAAAACCAUACAGGAAUUCUAAGGGUGAUUAAGGAAAACUUGCCAAGAUAACAACACUUAAUGGAAAUAAGAAAGGAUAUUUAGAAUAAGGAAACAUGAAGCAGGAACAAAAAAAAAAAAAGGCAUGAGUUGGAAUCAUUCUAGGAAUACUCCUAGAACCACAGGGCAGUGUGAUAGAGAGUAAUACAAGAGAAAGGAGGAAAGAAGCAAGAAUAUCUAAGUGAUGGGAAAGAAGAGAGGACUUUCUUUAGCAUGAGAGUGAAGUGGGGCAGUGAUGAAAGACUUUGAUCCAAGAGUGGAAUAAUCCUAAUUGUGGUUCCUGGAGAACAAGCUGGCAACUGUGUUGAGAAUAGAUUGAGUGCAUGCAAGGAUGAAAGCAGAGAGCCUCUUCUUGUGGCUCUUUGGGGUGAAAAAUAAUGAUACUUAGUCCAGCAGAACCUGCAAUGAUGAGUGGUGAAUUCUAGUUAUAUUUUGAAAAACAAGGAAAUUUGUUAUUGAAUUUUAUGUAGAUAGGGUACAAAGGAAAUAAUAGAGUAAGAAAUGGCUCCAAGAAUUAUUUCUUGAACAAUUGGAAGAAAUUUACUGAAUUAGGAAAAGUCAAGAGCUUUAUUUAUUGACUGACUGACUGAUUGAUUGAUUGAUUUACUUCCCAACUUACUUAUUUCUAAAAGUACUGGAAACUGAAACAAGAAGCUCAUAUAUGUUCAGCAAGCACCCUACAAUUUAGCUAUAUCCCCAUCACAGGAGAUGUGGUUUUUAUAUAGAAGUUUCUCCUUAUUUAGUAUUCAAGUCAAAUAUUUGAUAGACAGUUGGAUAUGUGAAUUUAAGUUUCAAGGAAGAAAACAGACUAUAAACUCAUCUGUAGAUAAAGAAAAUUAUCUCACAUGUGAACUAGUUUUAUAUUUGGGUAUUUAUAAUGACCUUCACCAUUGUAAAGCAUUUAUGGAAAACUGAAGAUUAUAGGGAAAUUGUGGGGUCUCCAGUAGACAUUUAUUAAAAAUGCUUUAAUGCAGAUUAUCUGGGAGAAACUAGUUAGAAAAUGCAUUUGCUAUGGAAUGCUAACCCCCAGAAGAAAUGAGAUAGUGGCAUUUAAACAUCUUAAGGGUAUCAGGUGCUAAGGUGUAGUAACUUGCAAUCAAUACCUGUAAUUUGAUGAAUAGGUAACUAAAUCCACCCACCUGAAUCCAGUCUUAGUUUUUUUUCCAUAAUAGAUUAAAUUAAAAACAAAAGAAAGCUUUUAACCUACCUAUUCUGGUGAAGCACAGAACUAUAUCUUUGACAAACCUUAAAAUAUAACAACAACAAGCAAAGAGGUACUUAGAGGGUUCAGACAGAAGGUGGCUAAUUAUUGAGCAGGGCUGGAGCCAACAAGGACAAUGGCAUUCUCACACAUUGAGCAAUGCUCAAUUCACCUUCCCUGGGGAAUCAUGGCUUCUAGAACUGAAGCCCGGGCCUCUGCCUCCCAGAUGGUGUGUCUGCUAGUAUAUCUUUGACAAGUGUCAACAUUUUGUAGGCAACUACAACAUUUCAAUAAUAUUAUUCCAGCCUUUUAAACAAUGUCCUUGAAGAUAAUUUUAAAUCACCAUCCAUUUGAACAGAAAUCGGUGUGUUUCUGAGGAUUUUUUAACUUUCUCAAAAUGCAUGCUAUUUAUUUGCUCAUUGCAAAUAAAUUCAUAUCAAGUACCUAUGUUGAGAGAGAAAUGAAAAAUAUAGUAGGAAAAAAUGCAAAGUCACUGACCUUACGAAUUUUAUGUACUAAUGAAGGAAAUAUAAAUCAAUUCACUCUUCAACUCUUGUCUGAAAAAAAAUUAAAAGUUGAACAUCCAAAGCAAUGAUUCCAUUGUCUAUAAAGAAUUUAAUGAAGCAAUAUAUAAUGAACCUAAAUUAAUUUCUGGACUCUAAAACUGUCAAAGACUUUUAUUUCAUAAUAUCCAGUACCGUAACAGCUUCACUCAAUUAUACCAACUGUUGUGGUUUAAAUGUAAAAUGUCUCCUACAGGCUCAUGGGUUUGAACACUUAAUCCAUAGCUGACAGUGCUGUUUUAGAAGGCUGUGGAACCUUUAGGAUGUACACCCUUGCUAGAGGAAGUUACUGCUAAUGCCCACUCCUUGAGGCUUUAACCCGCUCUGCUUCCUUCCUCUCUUUGCUUCUAAUCUCCCACAACAGAUGCUGUGACCUACAGCAAACUGCAGUACCAAAGUAGGAUCCCCAGUCACCAUUCCUUCCCUGUCAUGGAAUGCUGAACUAAAAUAAACCCUUCCCUCUGUUUUGCUUCUUGUAAGCAUUUAAUUGAGGUGAGAGAAAAAAAAAAGUAACUGACAUACAACCUACUCCAUCUGUGGAAUCAACCACUCAACUCAAAUUACAGAUUCCAUCAGAAGAUUUGAACUUUGGACUAAAAAAAUUGAAUCUAAUGCAUUCCCUGUAUAACGUUUUUGCAGCUACUUUGGUUCAAUCCCUACAUCAAUCCUCUUGAGUAGGUGUUUUUAUCUCAUUGUAUAGAAACAAAGCAGAGAGGCAAUGAUCCCUUUAAGGUGGGAUAAAAGUAGACAAAUUAGAAGCCCUUCCAUUAAGAGAGAGGGUCUACAUACAAGCCUUUUUGAAGCUAUGAGUGUAAUACAGUUGGUAGAGGCUUGAAUAGAAUGCUUAAAGGCCCAGUACACUGUAAAACUGAAAAUGGUGCCACAUGCUUGUAAUCAAGAAAAGCGGAGAUGAAGGAAGAAAGGUAAUAAAAGUACAUUGGAGGGGAUGGUAAGAAAAUUGUAAGUUCAAGUUGAUCCUCAGUUACUUAGAAAGUUCAAUCUAGCUUGGGUUAUAUGGGACCUUGUCUGUAAUAAAUAUAUAAAUUAAAAAAAUCUUCUUAGAAGUGCAACUCCCCAAUGUUAAUGAAUUCCAAACUGAGAAAUAAAAGACUUUCUUACUCUAAAAUCAGAUCUUUAACCACCCCAUCAGCAUGGGUGGUAACAACAACAAAUGAAUCCUAAAUAUGGGCUGGUCCAUAACAGUCUUGAUACAGACAGCCACCUGUCUCAUUAAUCUUGCUUUGUGUUCAGGGAGUUUGAACAGCAGCCCUGUGCACACUGGAUUCCAGUUGGGUAUGUCCAGUGGCAAUACCCACAAGAGACAACAAGAGCUGGAGGGAAGGAAAAAAAGGAGUACAUUUAAUCUUUUUUAAAAUACCAUUCUGUCAUAUCAUAACUUAGUCACUAUCAGCAUUUUUUACGAAGGCCAUGGAUAGUGUAUUACCUACUCUUUUAAAUGUUGUGAUAAAAAUUCUUGACAAAGAUAAUAAGGCAUGAAAAGUAUAUUUUAGCUCACUAUUUGAAAUGGUUUGUCCAUCAUGGGAGAGAGGGCAUGGCAGGGCAGAAAAAUUCAUGUCACAGAGGGUCAGGAAACAGAGACAAGGAGGACACUAGAGAACAAUUCAUUUUCUGCCUUUAUCCUUCCCCUCAUUUAGAGUAUCUGUGCCCCUAGGCCAAAGAAUGAUGCCACCUGCACUCAGGACUUAUCUUUCCCCUCAGUUAGUCAUCUUUCUAAUGCCCUUAUAGGCACACCCAAUGGUGUGACUCAGUCUCCUAGGAAAUUCUACAUGUAAUCAGGUUGACAAUGAAGCAGUCACAGAUGGCCCCCUCCUGGCUUCACAGCCCUAAAUUCAAGUAAUCACUCAGUUCAUGCUUCUUCAGACCCAAGGUUGAUAAUGGCUCCAGGGCUAGGCUCUUAAUAGAAACAAGGUGUUUAACUGUUUCAUCUUGUCCACAUAUCCAUAGUAAUCUCUUCAUCACAUCUUCCUGAAGUAACCCCAUCACGGGGCCAUCUGUUUCCUAUUGGGACCCUGAUUACUACAGCUUGAGAAAUGGAACUAAAGAACUAGAUGGGCAAAAAGUAUUUCCUCUAAAAAAGAAUUAACUUAUAUGACACUAACCAACCCUGAACAGAGACCAGUGCAUAUAUUCAGUACAGAAAAAUCUAUGAGAUUCUUUUCUUAUUCUUCCCUAAGGAUAUAAUUUAUCUCCCAUUCUCCUCUAGCACUGUCAGAAAGACAAAGUCACUUUAGCCAUACUGGGAACUUCUGCUUUCCGUUUGAUAUUUCUACAUCUAAAAGUUUGAAAUUUUCAAUAAAACCCAAGACCAGAACAGAUGUUAACAUUUUAGUAUUAAGCUUUAAUAUAAUCUCUUUUGGCAACACUAAUGAGGUCUGAUGAUUGUAAAGCUGAGAGUAAAAUAAAAGAAUGCUGGAUUUAUUUUAGAAUGAUGGAACAUAUUGAAGUCACAAACUAUUAUCUCAAAGGAGGCCACCAGAAAGAGAGUCAGACAGAAGUUCAUAAGAUGGGAUCUAUUAUCACGGGUCUCCCUAUUCAACCAUCUUAAAAACUGGUGUGCUCAGAAAGCCAGUUAAAGCCUCCUAUGCUCUCCUUCAUUGACCAAAAUAAUUUCAGUUUUAGAAGGAGAUCUAAUGGAAAAAGGAAAUGUUUCCUUUGGAAAUAUUACACCAAUAUUUAUUGCACAGUAAAAUCUAGCAACAGUCUUGUCCUUGAGAUGGUUAGAGCACCUCCUCCUCCAUGACAGUUUAGCUCAUGUCACUGUCUCAGUUCUAUAGCUUCUAUAGUGUCUCAGCUCCUAGUACCACUUCUCAUUAUUCCCUCCUCCAUGUUCUAGUUUUAUUGUGCUUCUCUGUCAGUUUUUAGGAUGGCAUCUCACAAUUCAUGGAAUAAAGCAAACUCCUGAGGAGAUACAACCAAGGUUUGCCAUGCCCUUGUAGGUAUCUGUAGAUCCUGUCUUCACCCCUAAGAUUUACAUUUUCCACACCCUGGGUGCUCUACCUUUCAUGAUCUUCUCUAGAAGAUACAACCUAGUCUUUCUUUCUUUCUUUCUUUCUUUCUUUCUUUCUUUCUUUCUUUCUUCCUUCCUUUCUUUCUUUUCUUCCUUCCUUCCUUCCUUCCUUUCUUUCUUUCUUUCUUUCUUUCUUUCUUUCUUCCUUUUUUUCUUUCUUUCAGGGUUUUUUCCCUGCUGUCCUGUUUAUGAAAAUCAUUUCCAGCAUCCACGUUUGUUGAUAACUUUCUCAUGCACAAGAGACCAAGUUAAGUCACAUCUUGACUGAAACUUUGCCCCAACUUCAUCUCUGCAAUAGCCUUCUGAAAUGUAUCUGUUUUAGGUUUUAUUUAUCUACUAAAUCACUCAUUUUUGUUUAACAUCACAUCCUUCCAGAAAUAAGAAAUAAUAGUAAUUAUUUUAUAAUGUCCUCACCUAAAUCUUCAAACUAAGCUGUAUAUUUAGAAAUGAAAUAUUUGUUGAACAAUUACUGUAGCACUCAAUGACUUAUUUACAGAAGGUUUUAAUUCUCACAAUAGAAAGAAGCACUGUUAUCCUGUUUGUGGAUGAGGAAAGUGGACCUGAAAACAAAGAAAUCUUACUAAAGGUAGUACAGCUAAUAAUGUGGAAUUCAGAAACUUAUGCUCUGAUUUCACUGCACUUUUCACUAUAUUCAUAUAGAAAACCAAUUUAGCAAACUGUUAGCAUUCCCUUUUUACUUGAAGAUCAUGUUACAUAUUAUAAAGUGCUUUGUUAACACACCAUCCUCUUAUAGAUCACCAAUAAACCAAUAAAAUGGUUAAGGCAGGGAAGGGAGCCUCACUUUUGGAGGUGAAGGCUUAGAAAGAAUGACUUUUCCUAGGUCACCAAAACAAAAACCAGAGUCACCAAGAUGGAAACUCCUUUCUUGCAAACCAGUCCUCUUUUUAUACAGUCUUUUUUCCUACACCAAUACUGUAUUUCCUUCCUGGCAGGGAAUAAAUGUGUCUUAAAAACAACAGUAAUUUGUUAAGAGGCUCCCUGUGAGCUUCCCACACAUCUUGCUCUUUGGUACUGUCUUAGGCAUCAAGGAUCUGCUCUGCCCUGUUAGAACAGCUACAUCCUAAGCUGUACUAUAAUUCAACAAGCUAACACUCAAAUAUGACAUUCUAUCUUGAAUUUGUUUUCCUUUCUUAACCUAUACUGAAGUUUGAAAAAGCUUAAUUCAAUUCUAAUUUUUAAAAAUCAUGUGUCUAACUUUUCUUCAAAAAGAGGGGGCACGUCAUUACUUCCAUCACUGGAUCUGAGAAUAUGACUCCUACUUGCUGUGUCAUCUUCAAAGUUCCCAAUAUGAUUCUCACUACUGAAGAUGCCCCAUUGACAGAGCAAUACCACGUGAUACCACAUGACAGAGAAUGCAGGGUCCUUGUGCACAAACUUGCCUCUUUACCCCUUUUCUCAAGUAUAGAAGAGUAUCCAUUACAAAGACACUGGCAUCGGCUACUCAUGCUACCAUCCCCUUUAUGAUCCUCAUUCCAACUGUACUGUGAGUGCUCAGCAAAGAAGGCUAUUCCGUGGUGGAGACAGUUUUACCAGUUAGACUUUUGACCUCUGCUUUACCAGCCCAGCUUUCUGAGUAAGAGGCAACUAUGUGAUAGGAACAACAAGAAUAUUUCUUACUAAUGUUAUUUCAGUAAGCUGAGUCUAAUCUGAUUGUUUAUCUUUAAUAUGAAAAUGGUAUUUUCUAUACUAUUUAUAGGACUUUUCAAAUCUCCUACUUCACAAUGCUAUGCUAUGAGGUAACUACCAAUAAUAUACACCAGUUAUUUUAACAUAAUAGUCAUAUUAGUUUAUGGUUAAGGCAGGUUAACCUAAUAGACAUAACAGUUUUCCUUCUGAAUGUAUAAUUAAAAAUAUAUCCUGCUUUUCACAUAGGAGAAUAUCACUAUGCACUCACAUAGUGUUUUGGCUGCCCACAAAUCAAGUGUAUUUUCCAACUCUAUAGGAACUUCUUGAAUAAGUUGAGAGAGCCUUAAGCUAAUAGCUUGGAGACCUGACUAUGCCAUUUAUCUUCUUUUCUUCUCUACGCCUUGGAUUUUUUGAGAGUUUAAAGCAGUGCACUAGAGUCAAUACAUCUGUGAUUAUGAAUACAAAAGUAUACACUUGAAGAAUGUAAGUAACUGUGGUAAUAGAAAACCAGAGACCUUGGUGUUUUUAAAAGGUUUAUUGCUGACUAGCUGUAUGAUUUGGAGAGUCAUAUGGACAAUCUAUGGGUCUUUGUCCCAUUACCACAUGCCACUUCUGUGCUAUGUUUAUCUGUUUUUAAUCUGUCUAGCAUCAUUUGUUUUCAUAAUCCAUGGUCUUUGUAGGCAUGAAAGAUAUUAUCCAACCCUCAUCCAGGACCUAUCUGUAUUUAGCUAAUACCUGUCUUAGAGUGCCCGAACAUUACUGAAAGUCAAUGGCAUAGACAGAAAACAGUGCUGCACUCAUAGUUCUGACUUCCUGGUAAAGUCUAUGAUUCCAUGUACCACAUAUUACAGACACUACAGCUGGGUUCUGGCACAUGACUUUCCCCUAUCCACUUUUACCUUCCCUUCCAACACUGUCUUCAACUUAGCCUCACCAUGUGGCUUCCAACAUCUCCAAUCCCAAUCAAACUAUCCUUAUUUGAUCUCUGUCCCACUGUAAAAUCAGUCUGUGAAGCAGACAUAUGAAUAAAAAAAAAAACAGAACAAUAAGCUCCAACAACAAAAAGGCCCACAUGCACUAAUGGAUAACCUGUUACGAUAAAUCUUUCCGUCAAAAGCCGCCCGAUCCCUACCGCCACAUGGGCGGUCUCCACCAGCCGCCUGAGUUCUGCCCACCAUGUGGAUGGACAAAAUAAUACAGAGACAUAUUAGGUACAAUGCUGCUUGGCCAAUGACUAGGAUUCUCAUCUGCUAGCUCAGUCUUAAUUAUCAUAAAUCUAUAUAUGUUAUAAGACUUACCUUAUCGGACACCUUAUUGGUGUCCCUCCUUGCCGGUGGAUCACAUUGCACUGCUGGAGGAGAAAGAGGAAAAAGGGGAGCCCUUCCUCUUUCACUUGCUUAAAUAUGUCUCCUUGCUAUGUCACUUCCUGCCUGGAACACCACAUCUCUACUACAUUUCCCAGAAUUCUCUUUGACUCCUAGUCCUAUCUAACUUGCUGUCUCAUUGGCCAAACAGUACCUUAUUUAACAAUCAAUAAGAUAAACUGACAAUGCUCCAGCAUAUGUCUCCACAAAAUUGGAACAAUUUUUCAAAUAUUAUAACAUAAAGCAUGUCACCAGUAUACCACACAAUCCUACGGGACAAGCAGUGGUUGAGAGAUCUAAUAGAACACUUAAGGAGAUGCUCAGCAAACAAGCUUGGAAGACUAAACCACCCAAACAUAGGUUGCAUAAUGCUUUAUUAACACUAAACUUUCUUAAUGCCAAUGAAAAAGGACAAACAGCUGCAGAAAGACACUGGACUAUGGAGAAAACCGCUGAACUGAAUCAGCCGGUAUACUUCAAAGAUGUACUAACCUCUGUAUGGAAUCCAGGACAUGUGUUACGUUGGGGUAGGGGUUUUGCAUUGGUUUCCAUAGGAGAAGAAAAACUUUGGAUACCAUCAAAGUUGAUCAAGAUUCGAGUUGAAAAGGAAAAACCUCUCCACGAGGAGAAAUGACAGUUAUUCUACUAAGGUAUAUCUUAUAAACUAAAUAGAAACCUCCCAAAGGAAAGGGAAGUGUUUUGCUUUUAUCUUCACAGGAAAUCUCAUCUCCAGAAGGCAAAGGACACUCUGUGGGUAGAUACUUAAGAAGAGAAGGUAGCUAUAACCAUCAAACAAAAGGAAGGUGCCAUAUGGUUAACUUUACAGCUGUCCCCAGAGAAUUCUAUUUCUCUUUUCUAGUCCCUAUUCAAUUAAACCAAUGCUGGAUUUAGAGGUGGAUUUGGCUUUCCCCCUCUAAAAUCCAAGCACAUUAUUUAACUAAACUUCAGAGUUUCUGUAUUGUAUCAAGAAGGCAAUUGAUGUAAUACAGAAUAAAAGAAGAAUUUGGGAACUGUCUUUGUCGUUUCUUGGAUCUUACUUUCAAGGUGUAUACCCUCUCAUAAUUGUUAUGCUCCCAUGGUUGCCUUUCCCAGUAUGUGUACAUCACAAGCAAACAGUUCUCUGAUAACUGUUUAUGUUUGAGUCCCACGCAGCCAAUGAAGACCUCCCUGACAGCAAUCCCUGGAUACCCCGGAAAGAAAAUGGGCCACACCUCCUCGCCUGCACUAGAUUCAACUUGCUCCAUUUCAACUGACACUCCCGCCAGAGCUUCAGGUACUGACUUCAAUCAAGUUGAGGAUUUCAAGUGAGAUCUUCAAUCAACCAAAUCCCAUCUAACAUGGACUGUAUACAAUUCAUGCAAGACUUUUACUAUACUAACAUUUUUUUUCCUACAGGACUGCACAAGGAUGUAGUCGUCCCAUUUCAGCAGGAAGUAACUUGGAGGAUGCUAUGCCCCCUUUCCCCAUUGUUGUCAUUUAGGAUAGUGUAUAUAACUAGUUAGGGAUAGCUUCCUAUUGUUUAUGAUUGGGAUUGGAAGGAGGUAUUCAGGCUUGGACACCUCUUUCAGAUGACUUUAGGGUUUAGUUAAAAUAGAUAGAUAGGAUGUGACAUGAGCAGAUUGUUGUAUCUUCUUAAAUUUCACCUUUGUAAUUGUUAAUUUUGGAUACUUUACACUGUUAAGUUUUAAUCCUCUUUUAGACUAAAAGGGGAAUUGUAGGGGAACCUUAGCCACGCCUACUUAGGGGCUGGCUACAGGUCUGCCUAACCAUGCCUGCUAGGGCAUGGUCAGGGUGACGUAGAGUGAGAGGUUCAGGGCUGUGUUUCACUUUCGGUUUUCCUUUUUGGCUCGCUGUACAGACUGCUGCCGCACCGGCUGGCUAGGUUGCUCUGUAAGUAAGACUUUUCCCUAUUAAAUACUCUUAUAUUUCUACUUGACUCUGUAUUGGUAAUUUCCCACUUUAAUAACCUUUAUCCAGAGAAAUGGUGUGAGCAAGUCCUGGG